AGUUUUCUGGAGCAUUCGUGAAGCUUAUAUUUUGAACCUACAAAAUUUGAACGGGAUUUCAAAUUGGGAGUGUAUGUCAGGCCUUAAGAUAACCGCAUUGCGGGAAGGGGAAGACAAAAUCUUCUAUGAGAUAACCCACCUAUCGUGAGAUAGGGAUCAAAAUUGGGCAACGGUGCUUUGGAAAAUUC
rnacentral:other from 1 species